rnacentral:lncRNA from 1 species
ACAUUACCGAGUGUAGCAUAUUAUUUGUUUCUAUCUUAGUCAAUUAUUACUCAUGCUAUGGUAUAUUUUUCUUUUGCUUCUUGAAAAUAAUUUAACCUAUGUUAUUGAGUCAUGUUAUAACAUAUUAUUCUUUUGCUUCUUGGAAAUAAUGUAACCAUAGAUUGUGCUUCAAAAUUAUUGUCGUCUUGACCAUCACCAUAUGCACAACAGGAACAAGGUCUGCUACUCAGCUUGCAUCAAUGCUACAACACUAGCUCUUGUAUAUGCUAGGAUUCCAAUGCGAGACACUGUCACAUCUUGUAGUGUUGUCUAUUUGUGUUCUACUCCUUUGCUCCACAGGAACCUACCUAAUUUUCAUAACUUUAGCAGUAGUCUUAUGGUAAUAAAAGUCAAACAAUAAUAAUGUAUUGUGCUAGAUCUGAAUUACCUCGAAGACAGUGUUGGGGGUUCCGAUGUCACUGUUGACAUCAUAUCCAAAUUUGUAUCAUUUUGUAUGGUGUGAUAUAUCUAGAAGCUCUAAGAAUUUUUGUCUUGUGCAGGUCCUGCAAUUAAUGAAUGAUUUGAACCAAAGUGUUCGAAAUGUUGUUCUCUUGUAUUGAGGCUUACUGUGUGCUUGAGGUUCUUCGACCUCUCUAUGAAUCCCCUAAGAUACCGGCACAAAAGAUAACUGUUGCGAUAUGUGUCAUUGAUCAAUUUCGUUGUUACUAGGAGUUUAAGGUAAAAGACAUAUGGCAUAUGAUGACUUGUGGACAUGUUAUUAAUGGAAUGUACUGUUAUAUAUAUUGAGUAUCUGUUUGAAUUGUAAG